CCUCAAAGAGGGGGACAACAGUUGGAAACGACUGCUAAUACCGCAUAAGCCCACAGGUCGGCAUCGACCAGAGGGAAAAGGAGCAAUCCGCUUUGAGAUGGCCUCGCGUCCGAUUAGCUAGUUGGUGAGGUAACGGCCCACCAAGGCAACGAUCGGUAGCCGGACUGAGAGGUUGAACGGCCACAUUGGGACUGAGACACGGCCCAGACUCCUACGGGAGGCAGCAGUGGGGAAUAUUGCACAAUGGGGGAAACCCUGAUGCAGCGACGCCGCGUGGAGGAAGAAGGUCUUCGGAUUGUAAACUCCUGUUGUUGAGGAAGAUAAUGACGGUACUCAACAAGGAAGUGACGGCUAACUACGUGCCAGCAGCCGCGGUAAAACGUAGGUCACAAGCGUUGUCCGGAAUUACUGGGUGUAAAGGGAGCGCAGGCGGGAAGACAAGUUGGAAGUGAAAUCUAUGGGCUCAACCCAUAAACUGCUUUCAAAACUGUUUUUCUUGAGUAGUGCAGAGGUAGGCGGAAUUCCCGGUGUAGCGGUGGAAUGCGUAGAUAUCGGGAGGAACACCAGUGGCGAAGGCG
rnacentral:rRNA from 1 species